rnacentral:rRNA from 1 species
UACGGAGGGUGCGAGCGUUGUCCGGAAUUAUUGGGCGUAAAGGGCUCGUAGGCGGUUUGUCGCGUCGGGAGUGAAAACUCAGGGCUUAACCCUGAGCCUGCUUCCGAUACGGGCAGACUAGAGGUAUGCAGGGGAGAACGGAAUUCCUGGUGUAGCGGUGAAAUGCGCAGAUAUCGGGAGGAACACCGGUGGCGAAGGCGGUUCUCUGGGCCUUACCUGACGCUGAGGAGCGAAAGCGUGGGGAGCAAACAGG